rnacentral:rRNA from 1 species
CCUACGGGGGGCAGCAGUGGGGAAUAUUGCACAAUGGGGGAAACCCUGAUGCAGCGACGCCGCGUGAGUGAAGAAGUACCUCGGUAUGUAAAGCCCUAUUAGUCGGGAAGAAAAUGACGGUACCUGAUUAAGAAGCCCCGGCCAACUACGUGCCAGCAGCCGCGGCCAAAAGUAAGGCGCAAGCGUUAUCCGGAUUUACUGGGUGUGAAGGGAGGGUAAGCGGGAACACAAGUCUGGAGUGAAAUGCCGGGGCUUAACCCCGGAACUGCUUUGGAAACUGUGCAGCUUGAGUGCAGGAGAGGUAAGUGGAAUGCCUAGUGUAGCGGUGACAUGCGUAGAUAUUAGGAAGAACACCAGUGGCGAAGGCAGCUUACUGGACUGUAACUGACGUUGAGGCUCGAAAGCGUGGGUAUCGAACAGGAUUAGAUACCCCUGUAGUC